GGAAUUUCAAAAAAAAUUGUUCGAUUUUUAUAUUUUACUCUGAUUUUUAGUCCAUUUCUAUAUCUCUGUUAUAAGAGUUUUGUUAUAUAGUUUUAGUUUUUCUGAUUUUUAUAAAAAUAUAUGAUGAUGAUUUUUGUAAUUUUAUAUUUUCUUUUGAAAGAUUUGGGAUCAAUUCUGGAUCUUUCGCCUUCAGAUUUUUCAGUGGAUUCCGGGCUUGCGUCGUUGAUCCCCAUCUUUCAAUUCUUCAGAAAUUGUUUUUGAAACAUAAUUAUGUAUUUUUUUUUUUUUUUCCGCAGAACUGUAUUUUAAACUUAUUUUCAUUUUGAAAAGGAAAUAGGCUUAUUUUUUUUCUAUAUCAAAUCGGUUUUUAUUGGUUUAAAACAAAAAUUUUAAGGUUAAUCCAUUUUUAUAAAACAUAUUUAUGUUAUGAAACUAAAAGUCUGUUAUGUUUUUCUCCUUAUGAAAAAGAAAUUCUUGAAAAGAAAAAAUCUUGACUGUAACAAUAAAGCAAAGCUCGUUGAAGCUUCUGAAUUUUAAGAAGUUAUUCGUAUCUGCUACAUAAUUUAGUUUUAUUGACUUUUUAUAAGAAAUCACUGGAAAUUUCAUUCUUGCGAAAAGCAGCAAUGAUUACAUUUCUAUAAGUAAUAUUGCAAUAAAAUAAAUAGUAAAAAACGGCAUCAUAAUUUAUGAAUGUGAAUUCAAAGUAUUAUAAUAUAUAAUUUUUAUAUCACCUGGAUGUAGAACUAUAUUCAUUCAUGCGGUAAGUAGUAGUGAACUUAUGCAUUGUCAAGGGGCAUUGUGUUUCGAUAAGUCACAAUUAAAUCAGAUCAUGGCUAUUAUACUAUGUACUGUAUGGAUAUUAUAUAAACACAUUUGGUUACAUUUCCGCUUUAUUUUAGCUCUCUCAAUGUCUCUAAGAAAGCCAGGAUAUAGACCUUGCUUUGCUAUAUCCUAUAUGUCUGUUUUUAUUUAUGUUAAAAUAGAUUCAUAAUUAUUUAUGCGAAUUAUAUUUUCUAUUAAAUUUAUGGGAAAAAUAAAAGACAAAUUUUCUAUUUAAUAUUUUUGAAUUGCACUUUAUUUUAUUAUUAUUAUUUGCUUGUUAUUAAUUUUAUUAUUAUUAUUUACAGCCUUUCGAGAUUUUAG
rnacentral:lncRNA from 1 species